rnacentral:rRNA from 1 species
AGCUGGUUGGUGAGGUAACGGCCCACCAAGGCGACGAUCGGUAGCCGGACUGAGAGGUUGAACGGCCACAUUGGGACUGAGACACGGCCCAGACUCCUACGGGAGGCAGCAGUGGGGAAUAUUGCACAAUGGGGGAAACCCUGAUGCAGCGACGCCGCGUGGAGGAAGAAGGUCUUCGGAUUGUAAACUCCUGUUGUUGGGGAAGAUAAUGACGGUACCCAACAAGGAAGUGACGGCUAACUACGUGCCAGCAGCCGCGGUAAAACGUAGGUCACAAGCGUUGUCCGGAAUUACUGGGUGUAAAGGGAGCGCAGGCGGGAAGACAAGUUGGAAGUGAAAUCUAUGGGCUCAACCCAUAAACUGCUUUCAAAACUGUUUUUCUUGAGUAGUGCAGAGGUAGGCGGAAUUCCCGGUGUAGCGGUGGAAUGCGUAGAUAUCGGGAGGAACACCAGUGGCGAAGGCGGCCUACUGGGCACCAACUGACGCUGAGGCUCGAAAGUGUGGGUAGCAAACAGGAUUAGAUACCCUGGUAGUCCACACCGUAAACGAUGAUUACUAGGUGUUGGAGGAUUGACCCCUUCAGUGCCGCAGUUAACACAAUAAGUAAUCCACCUGGGGAGUACGACCGCAAGGUUGAAACUCAAAGGAAUUGACGGGGGCCCGCACAAGCAGUGGAGUAUGUGGUUUAAUUCGACGCAACGCGAAGAACCUUACCAAGUCUUGACAUCCCUUGACAGGCAUAGAAAUAUGUUUUCUCUUCGGAGCAAGGAGACAGGUGGUGCAUGGUUGUCGUCAGCUCGUGUCGUGAGAUGUUGGGUUAAGUCCCGCAACGAGCGCAACCCUUAUGGUCAGUUACUACGCAAGAGGACUCUGGCCAGACUGCCGUUGACAAAACGGAGGAAGGUGGGGAUGACGUCAAAUCAUCAUGCCCUUUAUGACUUGGGCUACACACGUACUACAAUGGCGUUAAACAAAGAGAAGCAAGACCGCGAGGUGGAGCAAAACUCAGAAACAACGUCCCAGUUCGGACUGCAGGCUGCAACUCGCCUGCACGAAGUCGGAAUUGCUAGUAAUCGUGGAUCAGCAUGCCACGGUGAAUACGUUCCCGGGCCUUGUACACACCGCCCGUCACACCAUGAGAGCCGGGGGGACCCGAAGUCGGUAGUCUAACCGCAAGGAGGACGCCGCCGAAGGUAAAACUGGUGAUUGGGGUGAAGUCGUAACAAGGUAGCCGUAGGAACCUGCGGCUG